UUUUGAACUCAAAUCAGGUAGGAUUACCCGCUGAAUUUAAGCAUAUUAAUAAGCGGAGGAAAAGAAACUAACAAGGAUUCCCCUAGUAACGGC
rnacentral:rRNA from 1 species